rnacentral:rRNA from 1 species
CCUACGGGUGGCUGCAGUGGGGAAUAUUGGACAAUGGGGGCAACCCUGAUCCAGCCAUGCCGCGUGUGUGAAGAAGGCCCUCGGGUUGUAAAGCACUUUCAGUGAGGAAGAACGCCUGGUGGUUAAUACCCAUCAGGAAAGACAUCACUCACAGAUGAAGCACCGGCUAACUCCGUGCCAGCAGCCGCGGUAAUACGGAGGGUGCGAGCGUUAAUCGGAAUUACUGGGCGUAAAGCGCGCGUAGGUGGCUUGAUAAGCCGGUUGUGAAAGCCCCGGGCUCAACCUGGGAACGGCAUCCGGAACUGUCAAGCUAGAGUGCAGGAGAGGAAGGUAGAAUUCCCGGUGUAGCGGUGAAAUGCGUAGAGAUCGGGAGGAAUACCAGUGGCGAAGGCGGCCUUCUGGACUGACACUGACACUGAGGUGCGAAAGCGUGGGUAGCAAACAGGAUUAGAUACCCUUGUAGUC